AAUAAGUACAGUUUUACACUAUUCACGUUUAAAGUUUGACCGUUUAUCUUAUUUAAAUUUUUUUUAUGAUUACUAUUUUUAUUGCUAUUAUAUGAUAAAACAUGAAUAUUACUUUACGUGUGACUAAAUAUUUUUAAUUUUUUCACAAAAUUUUCAAAUAAGACGGAUGGUCAAACGUUGGGCACGGAUAUCCACGGCUGCACUUAUC
rfam:Oryza nivara chromosome 10, whole genome shotgun sequence.